UACAGAGGGUGCGAGCGUUAAUCGGAAUUACUGGGCGUAAAGGGCGCGUAGGCGGCCUUCUAAGUCGAACGUGAAAUCCCCGGGCUCAACCCGGGAACUGCGUCCGAUACUGGAAGGCUUGAAUCCGGGAGAGGGAUGUGGAAUUCCAGGUGUAGCGGUGAAAUGCGUAGAUAUCUGGAGGAACACCGGUGGCGAAGGCGACAUCCUGGACCGGUAUUGACGCUGAGGCGCGAAAGCCAGGGGAGCAAAGCGGG
rnacentral:rRNA from 1 species